UAUUAAAUCACAAGGUUUGAUAAGAAGUCCUUCUCUUAUUUAAUAUCAAAAGCUCAAUCACAAAGUCACACACUUAUCUCAUCACACGAUAUGUCUAUUUAUAUCACAUAGACAAUAUCCUAUUCCUAGUUGAUAAGCCUCAAUAUUAUGAUCAUUAUCCAAAACACACAAAUCAUAAUUCAACUAGGAAAACAUAUAACUUGUCUCUUAGGGUUUCUUCAAGCUAUAACUCCAACAUACUCCCCCUUAAGCUUGAACUCACUCACAUCCUUAAUUCCAAUCAAACUUCUCAUUUGCACGAACUUAGUCCUUCCAAGCGGCUUGGUCAGUAUGUCAGCUUUCUGCUCACUGCCAGGUACAUGCUCAACCUCAACCAGUUCAUUCUCAACGCAUUCUCGUAUAAAAUGGAACCUCCUAUGUAUGUGUUUACUUCGGCCGUGAAACACAGGAUUCCUUGCAAGUUGUAUCGCAGAUUUGUUGUCAACUCUAAUGAUCACCCGUAUGCAAACUUCAUUCAUGACUUCACUCAGAAACUCUUCAAGCCACACGGCUUGUUUUGCAGCUUCAGUAGCCGCCAUAAACUCUGCUUCACAACUCGACAAAGCCACUAUCUCUUGCUUAGUAGAACACCAGGUUAUAGGACUGUUUCCCAAAUAAAAAAUAUGUCCACUCGUGCUCUUACCAUCAUCUUUAUCCAGGUUAUGUGAGCUGUCACUGUAACCAACCAGUUUCACAUCUUUUUCCCGAUAGAAUCGUAGUCCAAGAUUACAUGUGCCCCGUAAGUACCUCAAAACUUGUUUCAAUGCGGCUCCAUGAGAUUCUCUUGGCUCCUGCAUAUACCUGCUCAGUACACCAACACUGAAGGAGAGGUCUGGUCGUGUGUGUAGCAAAUAACGCAGACAGCCAAUACUGCGACGGUAAGCCUUCUCGUCAACUCUCUUCUCAUCUGAUGCUUUAGACAGGCUUGAGUUCAUCUCCAUAGGUAUGUGUGUAGGGUUACACGAAGCCAUGCCUGUUUCCUCUAGUAUCUUGAGUGCAUAUCGGUUUUUCUUUAAGGUAAUUCCAUUUUCUCCUUGACAAACUUCUAUACCCAAGUAGUAAGUCAACAUCCCAAGAUCACUCAUCUCAAAUUUGGUGGCCAUCUCUUGCUUAAAUCCUUCUAUCAGUUCAAGUGAUGAUCCCGUAACCAGCAGGUCAUCUACGUAUACGAACACAAGAAGAAUAUUAUUGCAUACUUCCUUACGAUAAAGCGAUGGCUCCUUCAAGCAUCGAUGGAACUUCAGACCUCGCACUAAUAUGCGAUUUAACUUCAGAUUCCAAGCUCUUGGUGCUUGACGCAGUCCAUAAAGAGCCUUCUUAAGUUUGUAUACCUUGCUCUCUUGGCCUUUGACAAUAAACCCUUGUGGCUGACUCACAUAUACUUCUUCUCUCAGGUCACCAUGAAGGAACGCGGUUUUGACAUCUAGAUGAUGUAUCAUCCAACCUUUUGAAGCAGCUAACCCAAUAAUCAGGCGUAUGGUCUCAAUACGAGCCACAGGAGCGAAGACCUCAUCAUAAUCAAUGCCGUGUUUUUGCACAUACCCUUUUGCCACCAAACGAGCCUUGAAUUUAUUGAUGCUUCCAUCUGCGUUUCGCUUGACCUUAAAGACCCACUUGAGACCAAUCGGCUUGGCUCCUAUAGGUAAGUCAACGAGGUCCCAAGUUUUAUUUUCUUCUAUCGAAGUGAUCUCGUCUUUACAUGCAUCUACCCAUACCUUUAGCCUUGAUGCUUCAUCAUAAUCCCACGGUUCUUCAUUUACUAUCAUCAAGAGCCGUUCACUUUCGAUCUCACACAACAAAAUGUAGUCCUCAAGGUAGGCGGGUUUAGUACUUACACGCUGUGAUCUCCUUGGUUGUUGAUGAUCAUCUUCUUCAGAGCCUUCAUCAUGAGCUGAUUCACUGUCGUUCUCCUCUUCUGCUGUCGUUUCAUUAUCAUCACCGACUGCAUUGUUUUCACUUUCAUCAGUAUUGCCAUUCGAUCCAAGGUUCACAAUAAAUUCCCCAGGCUCUGUGUGCUCUGUUUCAUCUUUCUCGUACCAGUUCCAUUCCUUUUCCUCAGUGAAGUGGACAUCACGGCUUACACGUAUCUUCUUUGUACUAGGGUCGAGUAAGCGAUAUGCUUUUGACCCUGGUUCUGUUCCCAAGUGAACCAGUUUUCUUGAUCUAUCAUCAAGUUUUCUCCUUCCUGGUGCUUCUGUUCUCGCAUAGCACACGCAUCCAAACACCUUUAUAUGGCUAACAUUUGGCUUUCGAGAUCGUAGCAUCUCGUAUGGAGUCUUGCCAUCCAAAGUCUUUGUCGCUAGUCGAUUGAUCAGGUACGUGGAGUGUCUCACAGCUUCUCCCCAUAGCUCGUUUGGAACACUCAUAUGCUUCAACAAACUCCUUGUCAUCUCCAGAAGCGUGCGGUUGCGUCUCUCAACAACGCCAUUCUGUUGAGGGGAGUACGGUGCUGUUAAGUGUCGUUGAAUGCCAUUAGUUUCACAGUAGACACUGAACUCUUGAGAUAUAAACUCUCCCCCCCUGUCUGUUCUCAACAUCUUGAUUUGGUUUUCUGUUUCUAGCUCGAUCAUCCUUUUGAAGGAUUUAAACUUCUCGAAUGCCUCACUUUUUUCUCUUAGUAACACGGUCCACAUAUACCGAGUAUGAUCAUCAAUAAACACCAGUACAUAUCUCUUCUGAGCAGGUGUUGACGGUGAUAUUGGACCACACAAGUCUCCAUGAAUCAGCUCAAGUGGACUCGAUGCACGGAAGUUUGUUGUUUUUGGGAAAGGUUUUCUUGCCUGAUUUCCAAGUAAGCAGGACUCACAGGUUUCUUUCUUGAUCGUAACAUUCGGUAAUCCAUCAACAAAGUCCCUUUUCACCAUUAGCUUCAGUGUUUGGAGAUUAACAUGUCCAAGUCGAGCAUGCCACAAGCUUGACUCCGUUGCAGAUUUUAUUUGCAGACAUUGAACUGUAUCAACAGACAAAACUACCUUGUAGAGCCGACUUGGCGAUCGUGUAGUCUGGACCAUGAGAUCUCCACGUUUAUCAAACAAGCUAAGUGUGUUGUUUUUCAUACGAACCUCACAACCUACCUCAGUAGCUUGCCCCAAGCUUAUGAUAUUGCUCUUUAGGCCAGGGAUGUAGUAAACAUUGCUCAAGAUUUUCUUCUCUCCUCCUUCGAAAACAAAGCGUAUAGAACCUUUACCUCUUAUAUCAAUUCGAGAAUCGUCACCAAACCUUACUUUCCCGGUCACAGUUUCAUCAAGUUUGAUAAAAAACAAUCGUUCUCCACACAUAUGGUUUGAAGCUCCAUUGUCAAGGUACCAUACCUUCUCUGUAUCAUGACUAGAUUCAAAUAUAGAAGGAUUUACCUUCCUCUCAUUGAGAUAAACUAUCUCAUGUACCAUUAAUUCAUCAUCUUCCUCAGUGUCAUCAUCAUUUUUUUUUUCAACAUUCUCUUGGACUUGCAGCAGUUUAUCUGGACAAUCACUAGCAUAGUGACCCUGUUUGUCACAGCUGAAGCAAGUUAUAUGAGAAUUAUCUCUGCCUCGUCCUUGCUUAUAUGCAUCUCUUUGCGCAGAGAACGUUCCAGAACGGCCACGGCCUCUACCUCUCCAUGUAGAACGUCCGCCACGUCCCCUGCCUCUGCCAUAUGAAUCAGAGAUUGCGUACAUCAGUUUGUCCUUGUCAUCUUGUGCGCUUUCUUCUUCAUCUUCUUCAUUGAUCCUCUCUUCAAAGGCUUUUAACCGUCCAACAAUAUCCUCAAAAGUUGUUGUGUUGAGAUCCAGAAACUGUUCUAGAGAAGCAACCAUGUGGAUAUAGCUCUUCCUAGGUAAGCUUUUAAGAAAUUUCUUAACAAGCUUUGUCUCUUCCAUUAUCAUUCCCAAAGAUGCAGCCUUUGAUGAGAUUUCCGAUAGUUUACCAGAGAAUGUAUCAAUAGUAUCUUCAUCUUUCAUCUUUAGUUUAUCAAACUCUACCAUUAGGGUUUGGAGUCUAGCCUCCUUUACCCUUUCAGCCCCAACAUACCUAGCUUUUAUUGCCUCCCAUAUUUCCUUAGCUGUCGACAUGUCGCCAACUUGGAGUGUCAACACUUCAGGUAUAGAUUGGCAUAUGAGUACCAUAGCUAGGUUAUUUUUCUUCUCGUCUUUGUUUCCCGGAUCAAUUGUUUCCCAUACUUCAUUAACCUUAAGUGCGAGCUUCAUUCUCAUGGACCAGACGGUAUAGUUUGAAGAAGUUAACAUUGGAUAUUUGAUGGAGGAUGUUCCAAUACCUUUAGUCGCAAUUGUUUCUUCUUUUACAUCUGCCAUGAUUGUUGAACUUAGAUCUCAAGCUUUAAACCCUUAAGGCUCUGAUACCACGUAUUAAAUCACAAGGUUUGAUAAGAAGUCCUUCUC
rnacentral:lncRNA from 1 species